rnacentral:sRNA from 1 species
UUCCUCAGUAAACUUGACAGGUGUGUU